GCAGAUAUGCUAUACGACGCAUCAGGAGUCUUCCACCUACUGUUUGCGAGCAGUCUGAUUCAUUUGGUGUGAUAGCCUGAUGCCGUACUCACACUCGUCGCAGGUUUCCUAACCUUGCUUGUAGCAUAUUGUAUACCUUCUUAUAUUCAUAGGGAAUUCAUCAUGCUUGUAGCAUAUUCUCCAUUGUUGCUUGUAGGUAAGUCAGUGUACUCAUUGUAAAAGGAUGUUGACUGCAAAGGUGUUAUAACAUCCACUCCCUAUUGCUGAUUAUCAUUCAUAAACGUACUAUUAUGCAUACGGUAAAUCUUUUGUUAUCGUCAAAGGAUAUUCACAUUCAUCAUAUGCGGCGCUAUGUAAGUUUGCAUUCUUCGUACGUUGCAAAUCAAACUUCGCUACUUGAAGGGGA